rnacentral:rRNA from 1 species
UACGUAGGGUGCAAGCGUUGUCCGGAAUUAUUGGGCGUAAAGAGCUCGUAGGCGGUCUGUCGCGUCUGCUGUGAAAACUCGGGGCUUAACCCCGGGCCUGCAGUGGGUACGGGCAGACUAGAGUGCGGUAGGGGAGACUGGAAUUCCUGGUGUAGCGGUGAAAUGCGCAGAUAUCAGGAGGAACACCGGUGGCGAAGGCGGGUCUCUGGGCCGAAACUGACGCUGAGGAGCGAAAGCGUGGGUAGCAAACAGG